UCUGCUGGGUGGGCACCUGCUUAGUGGCUCCAGAACUCCUGGGCAUUUGGGAGCCUGGGAUAGCCUGGAGUUGGGAGUGGCCUGGAGGAAGGGGCUUCAAUUUCCUGCUCUGAAAAAGGGAAGAACAGCAGACUUUGGUCUGUAAAUCUUUCUUCCAUAUGUAGUUGAAGGCGAGCAUACCUGUCUUAGGGACAGUGAAAUCCCAGAGGCUCCUGAUCAUUCCUCUCCUGACUUUGCUUUGUUUCAGAUUUUCUGUAAAUGCUGCCCACCCCCACUGCCUCUGCCUGAUGACGUCCUCUGGGUGCUUGUGUGAGAAUCAUGCAGUGACCACAUCAUCACCCACAGCUGAUGACUCAGAGUGGACCACCUAUUCAGCCCAGAGCAGGAACCCAAGCCUAUGAAGUGAAUUGUAGGAUGUGGUAUCAGCCAGUAGAGGUACUGGAGCACCAGAAACCUGAGUUCCCAGUGAUAGAACCGCCAAUGCCUCAUGGCCAUGCUGCUAAAUCCAUCAGGAUAGUUUCUUUAGCAGGUAUGUGUUUGAGCCCUUCUGUUGUGCUAGAACCAAGCAUGUUGGAGAUGUGUCUCCUUCACUUAGAGAGCUGACCAUCUGGUUGAAGAGACGGAAAUGCCAGGAGCCAGAGUACAGUUUGGGGAGGGCUAUGGUAGCACAAUACACAAGGCAGUAACAAAGCAUGGCCACCAUCUACUAGACCCAUCUAGCAACCCAUUUAUUAUCAUAGCUUCCUUUCUAGAGAAUUUCUAACAUCCCUUAUUUAGUUACAAAUGUUUAGUGUGAGAGUCCACCUCUUUUCUGAAUGCUUUCAAUAAAAGUCCUGUACUUGACAUUUUAUUGGGCUAGAUUAAUGAAUUGCUAGGAGUCAAAUCCACUUUGGGUAGGCUGGGGUCAGUCUACUCAAGCCACUAGAACCAAGAAUGAGAAAGGGCUGGUUCUCUAAAGGACGUUUGUGGUGCUAAAUUGCUGAUACCAUAUGAAGUGAGGAAGCAUGCCAGGCAGCCAAAGAUCAGUAGUUGUGUUGUUUAGUAUUCUGUCUCCUGUCCAGAGAGCCACACUUCUUACAUAGCAGGCUCAGCACAUAACAGGCUCACAGUAAACAUUUGCUAAACAAACUACACUAAUGCUAUCAUUAUAAUGGAUGUGAAAGAUUGUUGUUUCUGAACAGCCCGUGCCCAAUUCUGUUAAAAGACAACUAAGUCUCUCUACAUGGUUCGAUUCUUGUGAUUUGUUUCCACCUUUAUAUUUUCUGUGAGGAAAUUUUUCUAUGAGGAAUGGUAUAUCUCAAAAUAUAGAAUUCCAGUGUAAACGUCUUCCUUGUCAAUAGCAAGCCAACUACAUUUAUCAAACUUCUAUUUUUUGAACCUAGCUUGCCCCAUAGUAGACGUUUUAAAAAUAAUUUUUUCUGAUUAUAGUCAUAAUAUAUGUUUGUUAAGAAAAUUUGGAAAGUAGGAAGGGAAAAUAUCACUUUUUAACCUGUCUCCCACAGACUGACUGUUACCAUAAGCAGUGUGUUUUAAAUACUUGGGAUCACAUUGUACAUACAAUGCAAUUUAUUUUAUCCUUGAUUAACCCUACAAAUUAAGCAUUUUCCCCAUGCUCGUAGAAAUCUUAGUCAAUACAACUAUAGUCUUUCUUUCCUAGGCAUUAAAAAAUUUAAUAUGCAAGUAAUUUUUAAAUAAUUUUAGCAAAGCGAAAAUAAUAAACAUUACCUAAUUUCUCAUCAUUCACUGAUAACCAUCUUUAAUGUCUUGAAAUAUGCUCUAGCACAUUUUUUCUCAUGUAAUAUCUGCAUUUUUUAAAAUUAAAAGGGGAUUAUGCUAAACAUAAGUUUAUGACCCAUUUAAAAAAUUGAGGUAAAAUUCACAUAACAUACAAUUAACCAUUUUAAAGUAUUCAAUUCAGUGACAUUUAGCACAUUCAAAAUCUGCAACCACCACCUCUGGAUAUUUCAUAUAAACGGAAUCACACAAUACAUGACCUGUUGUGGCUGGCUACAUUCACUUGUAAUAAUGUUUCUGAGAUUCAUACAAGCUGUAGCACAUGCCAGUAUUCGUUCUUUUUAAUGGAAAAAUAAUAUUCCCAUUGUAUGUUUAUACCACAAGUUAUUUGUUCAUCUGUCAAUGGACAUUUGGGUUGUUUUCAUCUUUUGGCUAUUGUAGCUAAUGCAGCAAUAAUAAGCAUUUGUGUACAAAUUUCUGCAUGAACAAUAUGUUUUCAGUUCUUUUGGAUAUAUACCAAAUAUAUAUACUUUUGGAAUUUCUGAGUUAUACAAUAAUCCUAUUUUUAAUUUUUUAAGGAACCACCAAACUGUUUUCCACAGUGGUUGUACCCUUUUGCAUUGCUUAUCAGCAACAUAGGAAAGUUCCUAUUUCUCUGCAUCCUUGCUGACACUUGUUAUUUUAAAAUUAUUAUCUUCAUCCUAAUGGGUGUAAAGUAGUAUGUCAUAUGGUUUUGAUUCACAUUUCCUUUAUGAGUAAUGAUGUUGAGCAUCACUUCAUGUGUUUGCUGGUUAUUCGCAUAUCUUCUUUGGAGAAAUGUUGAUUCAAGUCCUUUGCCCAUUCUUAAAAUUGCGUUGUUUUUGUUUUCAUUGUUGAGUUGGAAGAGUUUGUUAUAUAUUCUGGAUACUCAGCCCUUAUCAGAUAUGUGGCUUGUAAAUAUUUUCUCCCAUUCUGCAGAUUGUCUUUUCAUUUUCUUGAUAUUGUCAUUCCAUGUGCAAAUUAAAAAAAUUUUAUGCAUUCAAAUGUAUCAAUUUUAUCUUUUGUUGCUUGUGCUUUUGGUGUCAAAUUUAAGAAUCCAUUGACAAAUCAGAAACCAUGAAGAUUACGCCUGUUUUCUUCUAAGAGUUUUAUGGUUUUGGCCCUUAUAUUUAGGAUUGAUUUAUUUUAAAUUAAUUAUUGUAUGUGACAUAAGGUAGGAGUCUACUAGAGUAUUUUGCACAUGGCUAUCCAAUUGUUCCAGCACCACUUGUUGAAGAUAUUAUUCUUUCCCCACUGAAUGUUCAAGACCCCCUUGACAAUCCUUAUCAAAAAUCAAAUGGCCAUAAAUGUUGUGUUUAUUUCUGGACUCUGAAUCUAUUCCAUUGAUCCAUAUGUCUAUCCUUAUGCCUUUGCCAUGCUGUUUUAAUUACUGUAGCUUGUAAGUUUUGAAAUUGAGAAGUGUAAGUACUCCAACUUUGUUUUUCUAUUUCAAUAUUGGUUUUGCUUUUUUGGAUCCUAUGGAAUUACAUAUGAAUUUUAGGAUUGGCUUUUCCAUUUCAGCAAAGAAGACCAUUUGAAAUUUUGACAGAGAUUGCAUUGAAUCUAUAGAUUGCUUUGGGAAGUAUUGCCAUUUAACAAUAUUAAGUAUCCCUAUCCGUGAACAUGGGACAUCUUUCCAUUUAAUCAGCAAUUAUUUGUGGUUUUUAGUGUACAAUUCUUUCACUUCCUUGGUUAAAUUUAGUCCCAUGUAUUUUAUUCUUUGGGAUGUUAUUAUAAAGGAAAUUGUUUUCUUAGUUUCCUUUUUUUAUUGUUCAUUGUGGGUUUGUGUAUAGAAACACAACUGAUUUUGUACCCUGAAAUUUGUUGAAUUUGCUUAUUAACUCUACUAGUUUUUGUGUGGAUUAUUUGGGAUUUUCUUUGUAUACAGUCAUGUCAUCUGCAAAUAGAAAUAGUUUUACUUCUUCCUUCAUAAUUGGAUACCUUUUCUUUCAUUUUCUUACCUAAUUGCUCUGUUUAGGAAUUCCAGUGCAAUAUUGAAUAGCAGUGAUGAAGUGAGCAUCUGGUUGGAUUUUCUAUUUCUUCUUGAGUCUGUUUUGGUAGUUUCUGUGUUUCUAGUAAUUUGUCCAUUUCAUCUAGACUACCUAAUUUGUUGGUGUACAAAUGUAGAUAGUAUUCUUUUUAUAGUCCUUUUAAUUUCUCUAAGGUUGGUAGUAAUGUCUCCACUUUUAUUUCUAAUUUUAGUAAUAUAAGUCUUCUACAAACUUCACCAUCUCCUAUAUUUUUCAGGGACUUGGGGAGAAAAAUUAAGGAGGUGCUGAAGAAUAAAAGUCUUUUGUCUAUAUCUCUGAUGUUAGAUUCUGAUUCUGUUAGAAGAGAGAGGUACCUCAGUGGCUACCAUAUGGUGAUGGAAAAGUUUAUUCAUAUUACACACGCUCUUCCCUUUUAUUCCUUAUUUCCCUGCUGUUCUUAAUCUGUAGAAGAAUGUCAUGCCUUGCCCAUGAAGGGAAAUACUCUUGGGUAUUAGCCUUUCACUGAACCACAGCUAGUCCCUUUUCGAAGUGGCCAAGGCCAAUCCUUACAGGUAAAUGAGAACAGCACAAUGACAUGACAUUCCCACACUCAUACAUGACAUUUGAUUCUGAUGUUGUGACCUGAUUUCCCUGAGCUUGAUCAUUCUCUUAAGUCAUGGCAAAGUCAGAACUUACAGGCAUAAGGAGCCAGAAGUUGGCCCUAGAUUUCAUUUGACCAUGAGACUCAGCUAUGUUGUAGAGAAGAAAAUCUGUUUUUUUGUUUUGUUUUGUUUUUUGAGACGGCAUCUUGCUCUGUCACCCAGGCUGGAGUGCAUUGGUCCGAUCUUGGCUCACUGCAACCUCCGCUCCCUGGGCUCAAGUGAUUCUCGUGCCUCAGCCUCCGGAGUAGCUGGGAUUACAGGUGUGUACCACCAUGCCCAACGAAUUUUUGUACUUUUAGUGGAGGCAGGAUUUCACCAUGUUGCCCAGACUGGUCUUGAACUCCUGGCCUCAAGUGAUCUACACACUUUGGCCUCUUAAAGUACUGGGAUUACAGGUAUGAGCCACCACACUUGACCUGUAGAGAAGAAAUUCUUGUCUCAGUUAAAAGUUAUCUCUGUAUUCCUAUUAGGAUAGGAUGCUAGUCAGAAUUCCUGGGAUAUGUACAUAAAAUCAAAAAUAAUUUGAGAUAAAAAAUCUGUCAGCAAAGAAGAACUUAGGUAACAUAUUAGAGUGGAGAAUGUGGUACUUCCAUUUUGCUUCUGUGGUAGUAAGGAUUGGGAAGAGGGCAGAGAUGGGAAGAGAAAAGUGUUUCUAGGACAGACAUACAUCUAUUAUUUUUCUGGAGUUUGAGUAUCUACUAGAACAACCUUUAAUUUUCCCUUAUUGCCUAUUCUUAUCAUUGCCCAGCCACCAUCACAAAUGAAAAAAGGAUGGAGAAGAACAAGUCUGGAUGUUGGGUUGGGGACAAUCCAGUAAGACUCUGGAGUGGGUAAAUGUCUGGUGUGGAUGAAAAGAGGCCUACAGAAGAAGGGGGAGUAGAAGUAGGUUUGAGUGAGAACAGUGCGCCCACCUCCACCAAACCGGGAGCAAGUGUGACAAUACAGACUCAGAAAAGUAAAUUGGCAUGGACUGCACUUCCGGGUUGGAGCAAGUUGAAAGGCAUCAAUGUUCUGGGCUGUGAUGUCACCUUCAAUGUGACCUUGGGUCAUUCUCAAGAUCCACCCCACAUCCCCAUAACCUGGGGGUUUUUACAUUCCCAGGAUCUUUGCCCACCAAGGCCACUGCCCUUUCCCAAAGCAUCUUGUUUCCACAGAGUCUGAAGUUCACAUACUAAUGUUCUGGAGUGAUGGACUCUCUCUUAAGUAUCUUGUUUACAGUCUCAUGCUGUGCAUUUUUUUUUUUUUUACCAUGUCUGCAUGGGAUAUGGCAAAGGGUUUGGUUUAGUGUAGAUAAAAAGAAUGCUGCAGAAUCAUUCGCUAGAACCUUUAGCAUAUGAUUGCAAAGUUGGUGGGUCUUUCUCUUUUUCUCUCUAUCUCAAAGUUCAGGGCAAGUAUAAUAAUAAGUUAUUGUGUUUGGAAACAAAUUCAUGCUUAAGCAUUCUUAUGUUAUAUCCCCUCUCUGUUCCCCAGACGUGGUAUGACAUCUACUUGUGGACACACUCUGCUUUCUGGUUUUUCUGUUUCUGAUUAGAAACUCAAAAACAAUAUGAGAAACAUACCUGAAAACAGCAGAAGAUCUGGAUCAUUCCGGCCAGCAAUUCAAAGUCUGCCAAAGGGAAAUCAAGUAUUGUAGAAACCUACGGGGCCUCUCAGAGCAUUUUACCAGAACUGUGGCAGGGUGACUGAUUGUGGUAUUCUCUUUGUAUUCUCUAUGCUGAAUCAUUUGCCAGAACUUCCAAUAUAUGAUUGCAAAACUAGACUUUUUUAAUGUUAUCUUGUCUCAGAUUUCUAAGCCUGAAAGAUUGAGGCUGUUGCUGAACGAUGCUUAAUUAACCAAGGCAUUGAGCUCCAACCAUGAGGCUUUGAGGAGUUUGAUAUCUAGCCCCUCUUGGCAUCAUAUGCUAAGACUGGCUGUGAGGCUAUGAGAAUCUUAAGUACCUGCACGCUGUUCAUAAGUGGUACUCUAAAACUCCUGAGGAAAUAAGGGAGACUGGAAUUAGUGGGAUUAGCUUGUGGGAUUAGCUUGUGUCCUUUGGCUUAGCCUCUUUCUCUCCAGAAAUUUCACUUUUGGCUCAGUCCUCACAGGGGAAGAAAGUCUUGUCCAAAGAUGGCGUCUACCCUGUGCUCCACUGUGUAUCCCAGAGGAGAGCAUCUUUACUGUGGAAUGGACUUCCAGCUGACUCAUGUUGGGGAAAGGAAGCAACACAGGAGCUUAAGAGGAAAAUUGAAAGAAACCACAGACCCUUUGAAAGAAGUGGCAAACUGCAGCUUACACCAUGAGCCAGGCAGAAAACUCUGAGUCCUCAGAGUGUGAAAGGAAGAGAAACUGCCUCUGGGAUAUGCACUCCCACUGGGGAACCUGGCAAUCCAGGCCACGGGGAAGACCUUAACCCUACCCAGUGCUGGAGCUGAUUUAAUGAGCUGAGGGGAGUAUAUGAGAAGGAGCAGCUUCAGGAUGUGCUUUGCUUGCACUCCUAGACUCUACUGGGGACAGAGGGAAGCCAUUCCUGAUCCUACCUCACAGAGGACCAUGCAGAAGUCAGCCAACUAGCUCAGGCGGUGGCCAUGGGCUGAGAGGAGUGAGAAGCUCCCAACUGAGAUUCACAAUAUAAUCUCUAGCAGGGAUGGACCUCCUUGACCAGAACUGAGGGGCAAGUGGGAAGUGCGCUGUGCCCACAGGUGUAGGAGCUGGGUGCCCCUGCUUCGCUAGCAGAUCAGGAGGGGCAUGGCCUGAGCAGUUUUUGUCUUGGCAGCCAGAGAAGGCUUAUGGUCUGGGACAGUUUUGAGUGCUGAAUGCAGCCUGCUUGCAACCUAGAUGGCCGCUGCCAGUAGAACACUGUGGGUCUGAGACCUGUCUUGCCAAGUGCAUAGGGGCUGAGUGGGGCUUACUGCCACCUGUACUCCCCACUUCCUGUGUGGACUCUUCUGUGCGGCAGGGGCAACUGCACUCCUCCCUGGAACAUUAUCCCAGCAUCCAGAGAACUGCCCUCUGAUCCCCACUGGGCCACUGAUUGCACCUGCACGUGGAUAGCCAGAGCGCGAACUUGCCUGACUCAGCCCCGACCUGGUUUGCCUUUUUACCCACCCUGGUAGCUUAACACAAAGGACAGAAACUUUCGGGAGUGUUAUGGACCUGCCCAUUGCUUGAGACACCAGAGUACCUCCCCUGGUCACAUAAGCCAAGCAUGAAUUCCACCACUACUACUGCAGUCAGUGCUCUUUCGCACCAACUGCACCUCCUGGCUAUAGGCCAAUCAACAUAGUCCAUUACAACAUCUGUAGGCAGAAUAACACAGCACUGGGAAGGAGAAAACUUUUGCAUGACUACAGCUACCACCAUUGCCUGCAUCACCCUGGCUAACCAGGAGGUCUUGAGUCUGUUCACAUGACCAGAUCAUUACUACUACAACUGAAAUUAGAGAAAGCCAGCACACUAAGGCUAUUUGUAACCAAAGAAUCUCACAGAGUUUACUUUACUCCUCUGCCAGCCCCAUCAGAGCUGGUGCUGGUACCCACUGCUGGGAGACUUGAGGAUAAGUCACAUCGCUGGACCCUUUGCAGACAUUCCCUAGCACAGGCCUGGAAUGUAGCAGCCCCAUUGGGUGGCCAGAUCCAGAGCCGCAGCAGCAAUCAUAGUAGUCUGGCACUCAGGGACUCCUACUCCUAGGGUAAGCAGGAGUGCACCACAUGAAGGGAGCACCCUGUGGGACAAAGGAAUCCAGAUGGCAGGCUUUGAGUCUCAGAACUUUACAAUUGUGGGAAAUUUCUUUCAGCAGAGAGACAGGUGCAGUGCUGGGCUCAGUGGGGAAGUCUGUGGCUCUACCUCACCAGUCAGGCAGCCCUGGUGCUUGUGAAGGGUCUUGGAGAAUAGGACUUCUCCCCCUCAUGCACCACUGCUGACACAGCUGGGGUUUCUCACAAAGGAACUCGGCAUGAGUGCACCUGUAGACAGCCUUUCUGGGACCCUUCAGGUGACUGCAUUCCCACAGGACAAGUGCCCUCCAGGCUCAGGCUUGUAUGAGAGGUAGAGUCACAAUUCAUCUCUACAUUCUUGCAGCUGAAAAGACGUGUCUGUCUGAAGGUCUAACAUCCAGUAUCUGUAAGGAACUUAAACAAAUUUACAAAAAACCCCUAACCCACCCCAUUAAAAAGUAGGCAAAGGAUAUAAACACACACUUCUCAAAAGAAGACAUACAUGCUGCCAACAAUCAUAUGAAUAAAAACUCAACAUCACUGAUCAUCAGAGAAAUGCAAAUCAAAACCACAAUGAGAUACCACUUCACACCAAUCAGAAUGGCUAUUACUAAAAAGUCAAAAAUAACAGAUGCUAGCGAGGUUGUGGAGAAAAAGGAUCGCUUCCACAAUUUUGGUGGGAGUGUAAAUUAGUUCAACCAUUGUGGAAGACAGUAUGGCAACUUCUCAAAGACCUAAAGUCAGAACUACCAUUUCAUCCAGCAAUCCCAUUACUGGGUAUAUACCCAAAGGAAUAUAAAUUGUUCUAUUAUAAAGACA